rnacentral:rRNA from 1 species
UACGAAGAGGGCUAGCGUUGCUCGGAAUCACUGGGCGUAAAGGGUGCGUAGGCGGGUUUUUAAGUCAGGGGUGAAAUCCUGGAGCUCAACUCCAGAACUGCCUUUGAUACUGAAGAUCUUGAGUCCGGGAGAGGUGAGUGGAACUGCGAGUGUAGAGGUGAAAUUCGUAGAUAUUCGCAAGAACACCAGUGGCGAAGGCGGCUCACUGGCCCGGUACUGACGCUGAGGCACGAAAGCGUGGGGAGCAAACAGG